GCACCCAGCACAGCAACACUCUUGAUAACUGAGCUUGGCAGCACCUAUGCCCCACGGCACCUGAAUGGGGACAGCUUGACAAGUGCCGGGUGCUUUUUGGAUCCAGGAAACAGAGGGAGCCUCUGGCCUCCAGGUUCAGAGCAUGGCAAGAGGUCUGAGUCUCGAUUCAGUCUUCAGUUAGCACUCGUACUGCGCCUGCGUGGGAGCGGAUGGCACCGGAGAGACCUCUGUGGAGAACGGACCGAUGAGGCAGCGGUGACAGGAGCAACGUGGGCUGCAGUCCAGGCUCUCCUUAGGAGUCUCUGACUUAUGAAGGAGCCGCGAGAGGACCAUGAGAGGAUGUACCCGAUCUACGGAAAUGCCAUCUACAGGGAACUGCAGGCCAGGUCAAGUGCUGUUCUGCCGUGCCGCCCUGCCUUGGGGACAGCCAACUACGAACCGAAACCUCUACGAACUGAGCUACAGACCAUACAUCUCCAAGAGUGUCUGUCAUCCGUGGACGUCAGCACAAGGAGCAACUAUUCUAUUGUGCUUUGAGGAAUUUUUUAAGAACUUAAACCAUUUAGGAAUUAGGAAAACUACAUCAUUUGUUUUCCAUCUGUCUACAUCAACUGAGGCCAGGGUCAGGGAGAAAGCAGAAAGGAGUCCUUGAGGUGCCUGGGAAGAGGAAGCAAAGAACUACUUUGCCUUUUCCAGGACAUUGUGUGGGCUUGCUAGACCCAGAGGAGGAUUGACACCACACAGAUAAAUUUUUCACAUUAGCAGAAGUUGUGUUUCUUCAUAAACAAAACUGGAGACGAGCAAGUAGAAAUUGGAUCGGGACCAGUUGUCCGGAUAAGGGAUGUAAAGUCAUCUCCGGGAGGAGGAAAGCAGCAAUUUCCUACCUCAAGUCACACACAAGCAACUCCCCUUCCUCCAGAAGCCUCUGGUCUGAUGUCACUGUUACCAGCACCACCAUCAGGUCUCACAGUCUUCAUUUCUGAAAGCACUUGUGCUACA